AUUGAAAUCGGUGAUGUCGGCUGAGUAGAGAAGAACUAAAUGGUUCUCUAUGUGAUUCGAAUGCUUAGAUUAUUGGAAGAAGAAUUUUUAAGUGGGUUGAGUAGGUUGUGAAAUGAAGAGUAUGGGUCUGUGUUAGUGGUGUGUGGUCUGGUAAAUCUUGAGACACUGGUAAUGAAUAUGUAAUAUGGGAGAUGGCUUGUGCUGAGACAGAUGAUGGAGUUUUCCGUGGUGAUUGUACUGGAUGAACAUGGCAGAAUGGCGAAAUCAGUUGCAGCUGCAAUUGCAAUAAACAAGUUGGUGGAUGGAAGACAUUGAAUGAGUUAAAGAAGAUGGGAAUCUGCUCUGUGAUUUAUUAUGGUCAUAUCUUAGUAGAGAUUCUAAGGGGUGGGGGAUGAACGACAGAGGAGUUUCAUACACUUUCGGUGCUGAUGCAUUAGCACUAUUCCUAAUGAAGCAGGACCUGUAAAUAAGCAAGAUGCAAAAUUAGAGUCUCUUCAUUUGCAGAGAGACACUUAAAUGGCGAACAGUGGAAUGAUGGACUAUUAGCUACAGUUAGGAAGCGAGUUCACAUGGAGUUAGAAAGAAAAGCAAUGCAGGGGGAUGCUAGCAUGGCAGUGAAUUCUCACUUCCAUGGGAAAAUUACUUAUAUAGCAGGAACUAAGGUAAUUUGCUGUCUGAAGGGAGCUAGAAUUGGCAUCCAGUAUGAGACACCUUUUUCCGGUCUGUUUAGGUUAUGCAUUUUAAGAGACCCUGGUUUGGAUUUUGUACUGAAGUAAGAAAAAAUGGUGAUGAGUAACAACAAUUAUGAAGAAACAAGGUUACAGAGAAUGAAAGAGAACAACAAGAGAAUGGAAGAACUCAAACUCAACAGAUGGGGUUUGGUUGAUUUGGGUUUUGGUUCAAAUCUGAAUCAACGAUGGUUUGUGUUUGAGCUAAGAGAUGAAAUUUAGGGUUUAAUUACUGAGAAUCGAGAGAUCAUUGAGAAGAAUUAGGUGAUGGGUUUUUGUGGUUGUUCUUCAAGGGUUUGAAGAAGAUAUUUGGACCGAGAUAGAAAAAUAUGUAGACGAAAAUGUAUAUUAAUGCUUAAACCCUCUUGUCGUUGGUUUCGUCGUGUAAUUUGGAAGAAGACAGUGUAUGGAAAUGCGCUUGUUUACGUGAUCUUUAAGUUCCUCCGUUUUGCCAACAAGUCUCCUCUAUAUGGACCCAAUUCUGUAUUUGGUAAAUUUGACUCCAUCCCUUACUUGUGUGUAUGUAAGUUAAUCGAAAAGUUAGUUUCUACUGAACUUUGUUGUUCUGGUUUUGUGGUUUUCAUGUGUGAGUCAUUCUUAUCAAGUGGUGCAGUUCUGAAGAGCUUAAGGGAUUCAAGCAUCAAAUUUUUUUUGUCAGAUUCAUAGCUCGUGAUGGAAAAAAGAAACUCAAGUGAUCCUAAAAGUCUAGAAAUUGGACUGAUACCAAAGAAAAAAUUGGAUUCUUGUUGAAACCAAAGCAAGAUGUGGUUUCUAAAUCUGCUACUUGGAUUGUCCAUGAAAAACAUCAGAAAUGACUUUAUGAUCAGUGGGGGACAAUGUAUGUCAACCUAUACAACAGGAUCAAUUUGACACCAUAUAUUUGUCAGACAAUGAUAGUUAUGUUAUGUACUCUCGCCCUCAUUUUUUAGAUCGUACGCCUUGUUUACUGUUUGGAUCUCCUCCAAAUUAUUGUAUAUGCAGUUCUAUGUAUAUUCUUAAAUAUAUCCACUAUCUCAUGAUUAUAAUCAUGCGAAUCACUUCCCUUAUGCUACAGCCUAAUCUCUCACGUUGCUUUUGAUUCCUUUCGUGAUGUUAUUAGAGUAUGAGUACUCCGUCAAGAUCCCAAUGAUGAAUGAUCAUAAAGGAACUUAAAACACAAGAAUGAUGGCAGUAUAAAUCUCUUAUUAUGAGCUUGGUGCCACAAAGUCGAAAGAGUGUUCAUCUUUUGUUUCAAAAUUAAGGAAAUUGUAAUCAUCAUCUUUUAGAGAAAUGAUUAGUUUGUAUUUUUAAUCUUUUUGUUCCUGUAAAGAUUGUCUUUUUUUUA